CCUACGGGAGGCAGCAGUGGGGAAUAUUGGACAAUGGGGGGAACCCUGAUCCAGCCAUGCCGCGUGUGUGAAGAAGGCCCUCGGGUUGUAAAGCACUUUCAGUGAGGAAGAACGCCUGGUGGUUAAUACCCAUCAGGAAAGACAUCACUCACAGAAGAAGCACCGGCUAACUCCGUGCCAGCAGCCGCGGUAAUACGGAGGGUGCGAGCGUUAAUCGAAAUUACUGGGCGUAAAGCGCGCGUAGGUGGCUUGAUAAGCCGGUUGUGAAAGCCCCGGGCUCAACCUGGGAACGGCAUCCGGAACUGUCAAGCUAGAGUGCAGGAGAGGAAGGUAGAAUUCCCGGUGUAGCGGUGAAAUGCGUAGAGAUCGGGAGGAAUACCAGUGGCGAAGGCGGCCUUCUGGACUGACACUGACACUGAGGUGCGAAAGCGUGGGUAGCAAACAGGAUUAGAUACCCCUGUAGUC
rnacentral:rRNA from 1 species